GACGAACGCUGGCGGCGUGCUUAACACAUGCAAGUCGAACGGAAAGGCCCUGCUUUUGUGGGGUGCUCGAGUGGCGAACGGGUGAGUAACACGUGAGUAACCUGCCCUUGACUUUGGGAUAACUUCAGGAAACUGGGGCUAAUACCGGAUAGGAGCUCCUGCUGCAUGGUGGGGGUUGGAAAGUUUCGGAGGUUGUGGAUGUGCUCGCGGCUUAUCAGCUUGUUGGUGGGGUAGUGGCUUACCAAGGGUUUGGCGGGUAGCCGGCCUGAGAGGGGGACCGGGCUACGUGGGAGAGGGCUACGGGCCGGAGCCCUGCGGGAGGUAGGAGUAGGGUAGGAUGCCUGAUGGGGCGAAGCCGGGUGCAGGAAGGCCGCCUUAGGGGUUGUAGCCUUCGGGUUGGAAACCGCUUUCGCCUGUGACGAAGCGUGAGUGACGGUAAUGGGUAAAGAAGCACCGGCUAACUACGUG
rnacentral:rRNA from 1 species